rnacentral:lncRNA from 1 species
CCGAAGAUUGUGCUUAAAUGGGAGAGCAUGAAUGUGUUUCAUUAAGCUGCCUUGGCCCCAGGUGUGUUCCAUAUUUCCAUUGUUGUCCCAUUUGCGACUAUCUUACUAUGUGCAGCCUAGGAUUUGGUUGAUCUUCUAUGCAGGCAUAAUCCGGUGAUGCAGUGCAAUGUUUUCAUGUUUCGAUUUCCAUUUUAAUCCUGGUUCAGAGAGUGACCAGUUCAUAAUGCGAAGCUCUACUGUUGAAUUCUAUCCUUCGGUGUUCCUUAGUUCCUUUGACCAUGCCACUCACUGAAAUGAGAGACAUGCUCGUAGUUAAUUUAAUUAUGCCAUCAGUGCUCAUAAACGGUCCAGCUGGGGAAUCCUUCGUUACCUAUACGUUAACGUUGUUCUUUUGUUUUUAUUGUUGUGUGAUACAUAUCCACCUAUGAUGACAAGUAGGUUCCCAAAGUUUUGUAUGGUAGCUGUAAGUUGGCAUCUUCCAAUUGCUGAUGGACCCUAAGUUUGAAUGUUGUACUUACUUGGUUUGUAAGGUCUUACGGUUUCAGUGCUUUAUUUGCUCAUGGAGCUAUGGCUCUGUUACGUUGGGCUAAGGUUUGAUUGCCUGCACGGGUACGGCAAGGUGUAGAUGCAGAUUCAUUGUCGAUGUUGAAUACUGGAGUAAGAAUGAUGAUCAAUGCUCUAAUGAACCUGCAUGCUGCAGCAUUACUAUCAGGAUAUAUGGGUUAGGCACAUACUCUUUUGACAGUGGGUUAACUAAGUGUGGUUUUCAGGUGAAGUUGCCUAUUAGUUUUUUUCAGCUUUCUUGUGUUGACUUCUCUUUUACUGUAAAGCAAAGGCUGGCAGUUAGUAUUCCCUGAUUCAAGAGUUUUUUUUACUUGGAAGAUCGGAACAUUGUCGAUAGAAGAAUGAGUUUUAUAGCAAACUAGGUUCAGACUUGUAUACUAAUUUCAUUUUGCGACACCAUGAUGGUUGUUGGGGUAUAAUUAAGACUUUGUUCCCACUGAACAUGAAAUGCUGGAUGAUGAUGAGAUCAUCUAUGACAGUGAUUGGCGGUGCACUGAUGAUUGUGAGUAUAUAUAUAGAUCACAUUAACACAUUUCUGAUAACUAUAGUUCUAACUCAUUGAUGGAUCCUUCUCUGUGUCUUAUGGCUCUAUGGGCCGAGCAUUCUUAUCUCUAGUUGGACAACACUAGCCUCUAUAGUAACACAUAUGCUCUGAGAUUUUUCUAGGAUCAUUCCUCCCAGGUGAUAACGAACCUGCUCAUAAUGUAGCAUAAGCUAAAUCGAUUCUAGAUUUUCUUUUUUGGCCCACUACAAUAAAAGAUCAUUCAUACUGAGCUUUUUUGUGCUACAACAGAAUUAUGGAUGACUGCUCUAUUUUUGAGAAUUGCUCUAUUUAAUCUUUGACAGUUCGGUCUAUAUAUGUCAUGGGUUUAGCUAUUAGCGUUGUUGAUUGCAACCUUGCGGACCUCCUGCUUAUUGCUUUUCAUUAUUCUUUGUGUAGGUCACAUACACCAACAUCUAAAAUAAAUCCAGCAGGCAGUUGAGAGUUUUUCGGCUGUGAUGAUUACCAAUGCAGAUAGAGCUAUCUAAUCCAGCUUUCGCUUGAUUUUCGUCACUGAGCUACCAACCUUCUUUUUUCCCCUUUCCUAUUACUACAAGUGUAUGGUAAUUAUUUACCAAAUACUCCCUCGUCCCAAAAUUCUUGUCUUAGAGUCGUUGAUUUCAAGGAACUUCGUUCCAUCCAAGAUCCUGAGGAAAGAAUCAGACUGCCUGGAUCUGUGGAGGGCACUGAUAUCAUUUUUGUGUCCACAGAUUUUGGCAUCCACAAGGUUAAUCUCAAGUCACUACACAAAAAGAAGUUGUGCUAGAGACGGCAAUACCGUACUUCAAUUCCAUACAUGAGUUUCUACCAUCCGCCGGGUACAUCUCUGCGUUCUUCCUUUUCCUCUUUUUUCUUUUGUGAUCUGGGCACAACACUACUUGAAUCUCUAAUCAGAUUGAAAGUUAUAUUUGAUUGUUCAGCUGUGAGCAAACUUUGUGUGCUACGUAACACUAGAAUGUUGCACCUAAUUAUGCUUAUGGCUACCUAACUGGUUGUUUUAUAUUCUAUCAUGCCAUCUCCUUUUUGCAAUCACACUUACAAAUCUAUGUUUGCAGAAUGGGAAAUUGCAGAAAUAGAGGAAAGGUGAGUCAUUCAGUUGCGGCACGAUCGUUGACGAUGUAGGAUUGAAUAUGGUUAAGGGCAGGAUGCCGCUUUCAUCAACAGAAAAGAUUACCAGACCACUUGGAGUUGGAGGUGACAUGAGCCUUGUGAUCAAUUCUGCCGGUAUUCAGUAGCUUUUUUAGCGGUGCUUGUUGGCUUUUGGUAGCAUGCUUGAUAAUUUCCCCGUGUUAGCAUGCGUAAGCGGGUGAAUGGAUUAUCUUGUAAUGAGGAACUUCUAGUUUCUUGAAGCAGCAACAAUCAUGUCCUCCUUUGUUGAAUUUGCUAGAGAAUGCAUAGUUUGGUCAGUUUGCUAUUUUACAAACUCUACAGUUUGCUUCCCAAUUUUUAUCCAGUUUUUGGAUUCAUCUCCCAUAAGGGGUACCAUUGCUUAGUUUUUGCAUGGUGGCUUGCUCAUCUCAAUUAAUCUUGUGAAUUCAGUUAUUGCUACAUGUCGAGUGCUAAUG